UUUUUAAUCAAUUGUUCAUAUGUAUUCUUCCGUCCCGACUUUUUUCAACCUUAAAAGUUGCGUAUGAUUGGUGCAUCUGUUUAACAAAACAAAUCGGAGAAUUGUGACAUUCAAACUAUGUCACGAUAAGAAAAUACACGACUUUUAGAAUUGGUAAACAUCAAAGGAUUUGGUAAAGAAUUAGGCCGUAGAAAUUGGUGAUGAAAGAUGGUGCCAUGGUGAUGAUGGGUGUUUGUUAAGGGUUUAAUGUGAAUUUAGAAGCCAGGAAGAAGAGUUUGCUGCAAGUUGUUACCAUCGUCAGUGUUUAUGUUAGAAUGGUGAAGAUUGGUGAAUGGUUAGACAAUACUGGAUUGUGUUGGAUCCGUAUUUCGCAGGGCAGGAGAUAUAUAAUGUCUCAGAUAUCCACAACAACGUGCAGAAUACACGGCAGCUGUUUGACAAAAUUCCUACACCACCUGUUAACCAAGCUUGCUGCCAUAAAAGGACUUUCCUGUUGUCUCUAAAUCAGCAUCUUUACCGUGGUUCAUGUGGGUAAGGCCGUAAGGAUGAUGGGUUAGAAGAUAUUUAGAAAGUAGUAGACGGGAGUUGUUAUAUUGAUUUAAAGGGUAAGAGAGAGAUGGAGAAUGUGAAGAUAUAAACUAUGGUGAAAUUGAGUUCUUCAUGCAUUUAUGUGUUACUCUGUUACAUAAGAAUUGAUCAUAAACGUGUUUGUAUGCAUGUAUAAGGUUAAUUAUGAUUACAAUAACCAAGAACUUCUUGCUGAUCACCUAAGACUAUCGUGUUUGCUCCUUCGAAUCAAGAGUCGUUGUCUGUUCACUUGAAGACGAAUAUAAAUGAUCCUACAUCUUUGAUCAUCCUUUUAUAGCCGCGGGCCAAAGUUUAUGAGUGUUCCAGAACAGCUUCUAGACGGAAUUCGAGAAAAAUCGGCAUAUUUGUUCACCGAAAGAGGUUGGGAUCCAUAGAUUUCUAUCCGUCCAUCCGUUCGUGACAUAUAAUUCUGAGAAAUACUUAUGUUAAUCCGUUCACAAAUUGGUCUCUUUACGAUGAAGGUGCUUUCAUCGAAGUGUAACAGUACCUUCUCUCGACUACUAAUGCAUAAGGUGGAUAA